UACGUAGGGCGCAAGCGUUGUCCGGAAUUAUUGGGCGUAAAGAGCUCGUAGGUGGCUGGUCGCGUCUGCCGUGAAAGCCCGCAGCUUAACUGCGGGUCUGCGGUGGAUACGGGCCGGCUAGAGGUAGGUAGGGGAAAGUGGAAUUCCUGGUGUAGCGGUGAAAUGCGCAGAUAUCAGGAGGAACACCGGUGGCGAAGGCGGCUUGCUGGGCCUUACCUGACGCUGAGGAGCGAAAGCGUGGGGAGCGAACAGG
rnacentral:rRNA from 1 species